rnacentral:rRNA from 1 species
CUGCGGAAGGAUCAUUACAGUAAUUGGGUUGUCGCUCAAAGCAGCACACCCUCCAUAUACACACACCCCUUGUGCACCCUAUAUCUAUUACAGCCUGUCUCUAAUGCAUGUCUUGAUAAAUUCUACGGAAUAGAAUACAACUUUCAACAACGGAUCUCUUGGCUUUCGCAUCGAUGAAGGACGCCGCGAAAGUGCGAAACGUAAUGUGAAUUGCAGAAUUCAGUGAAUCAUCGAAUCUUUGAACGCAUCUUGCGCUCCUUGGUAUUCCGAGGAGCAUGCCUGUUUGAGUGUCGUGAAUCUCUCUCAAUCCCACCUCUGUGGGCUUGGAUUUGGAUGCUUGCCUAGAGGCUGACCUCUUUCGGCUCGUCUUGAAAUACAUCAGCUGGUCUGCCUAUGAGUUUGGUGGGUGUGAUUUAAGAAACAACUUGUGGCGCCAUUUCCAAACUCGGGAGGUUGACCGCCCUGAAAUACUACAUGUCUUCAUGUCAUGUCAUUUGACCUCAAAUCAGGUAGGACUACCCGCCGAACUUAAGCAUAUCAAUAAGCGGAGGAAAAGAAACUAACAAGGAUUCCCCUAGUAACGGCGAGUGAAGCGGGAAGAGCUCAAAUUUGUAAUCUGGCAGUCCUUUGGCUGUCCGAGUUGUAAUCUGGAGAAGUGUUUUCUGUGCUGGACCGUGUACAAGUCCCUUGGAACAGGGCGUCAUAGAGGGUGAGAAUCCCGUCUUUGACACGGACUCCCGGUGCUUUGUGAUGCGCUCUCGAAGAGUCGAGUUGUUUGGGAAUGCAGCUCAAAAUGGGUGGUAAAUUCCAUCUAAAGCUAAAUAUGGGCGAAAGACCGAUAGUGAACAAGUACCGUGAGGGAAAGAUGAAAAGCACUUUGGAAAGA